rnacentral:tRNA from 1 species
GAGGUAGCUCAGUUGGUAGAGUGCUUGCCUAAUAUUUGCAGGGCCCUGGGUUCCAUCUCCAGUACCACA